AAUGAACGCUGGCGGCAGGCCUAACACAUGCAAGUCGAACGGAUCCUUCGGGAUUAGUGGCGGACGGGUGAGUAACGCGUGGGAACAUACCCAAAGGUACGGAAUAGCCUCGGGAAACUGGGAGCAAUACCGUAUGUGCUCGAAAGAGGAAAGAUUUAUCGCCUUUGGAUUGGCCCGCGUUGGAUUAGGUAGUUGGUGGGGUAAUGGCCUACCAAGCCGACGAUCCAUAGCUGGUUUGAGAGGAUGAUCAACCACACUGGGACUGAGACACGGCCCAGACUCCUACGGGAGGCAGCAGUGGGGAAUCUUAGACAAUGGGGGAAACCUUGAUCUAGCCAUGCCGCGUGAUCGAUGAAGGCCUUAGGGUUGUAAAGAUCUUUCAGGUGGGAAGAUAAUGACUGUACCACCAGAAGAAGCCCCGGCUAACUCCGUGCCAGCCGCCGCGGUAA
rnacentral:rRNA from 1 species